UACGUAGGGUGCGAGCGUUAAUCGGAAUUACUGGGCGUAAAGCGUGCGCAGGCGGUUUUGUAAGCCCGAUGUGAAAGCCCCGGGCUUAACCUGGGAAUGGCAUUUGGGACUGCAAGGCUUGAGUGCGGCAGAGGAGACUGGAAUUCCUGGUGUAGCAGUGAAAUGCGUAGAUAUCAGGAGGAACACCGGUGGCGAAGGCGGGUAGCUGGGCCAACACUGACGCUGAGACGCGAAAGCUAGGGGAGCAAACGGG
rnacentral:rRNA from 1 species